AUUGAACGCUGGCGGCAUGCUUUACACAUGCAAGUCGAACGGCAGCGCGGGCUUCGGGCUGGCUGCGAGUGGCGCACGGGUGAGUAAUACAUCGGAACGUGCCCAGCUGUGGUUGAUAGCACGGCGAAAGCCGGAUUAAUACUGCAUACGACCAGAGGGUGAAACAGGGGGAUCUUCGGACCUUUCGCUCUUGGAGCGGCCGAUGGCCGAUUAGCUAGUUGGUGGGGUAAAGGCCUACCAAGGCGACGAUCUGUAGCUGGUCUGAGAGGGCGACCAGCCACACUGGAAGUGAGACACGGCCCAGACUACUACGGGAGGCAGCAGUGGGGAAUUUUGGACAGUGGGCGGAAGCCUUGUCCAGCAAUGCCGCGUCUGUGAUGAAGGCCUUCGGGUUGUGAAGCACUUUUGGCGGGAAUGAAAAGCAUUGUGCUAAUACGACGCUUCGGUGACGGUACCCGCAGAAUAAGCACCGGCUAACUACGUG
rnacentral:rRNA from 1 species